ACCCAGGGUGCUUGGUGGGAGGGGCCCUCCUUGGGCCGGGGGAGGGCGCUUGGCAUGGCCUGGAGGGACAGGGAUCUGUGAGGGUUUUCAGGACAGAGGUAGGACUGGGUCACGAGGGAGAGGAGCUCACGGGCUCCUCAGAAAGGGCGGAGGCCUGGUGCCUGGCUCUGGGAAGUCACGGAUUUAAUGCUCGGUCAGGGGCGUGGCAGGGAAUCAGGAAAAGGGAGUCAAGGGAAAGUGAAGGGGAGACAGGAAGAGGCCGGAGGGGACAGUGAGUGUCAACCAGGAUUCAGAGCCCCUGGAGAGGUCCUGCCGGCAGACGGGGGCUCAGGACCAGAGAGGACGAGACGUGGGCUUCGUCCCUCCCUCACACCCCCUCCUCACUGGCCUCUGGGACCUCAGUUCUGCCCAGGGCCUUGCCCACCUGUGCUAUUUCCCCAGAAGACACGGAUGGUCAGCCAGGCCUCCACGGAGAGCCCCCAAGGCCACUCACCUGCGCACAGCAGCGACAGCAUCAGGAGCAUCUCCGAGAUGAGGCUCUGGGCUUCCUGUGGGGGAGAGAGAAGGGGAAGGCAGGAGCGGGACACCCACGCCCAGACCCAGGAGCUGCCCGGAGAGCCGACCGCACAGACGCGCCCCGCCCCCAGCUCGGCCCUUCCCUCCGGCACCGGAACUGGGACCAGGGCUUCUGAGGACACCUGAGGCCCAGGACAGACAUUGAGCCCCAAUUGGUGGGGCUGAAAAGGGCCCUGCGACUGAGUUUGUGUUCAUUUACCGCCUCCACACACUCCAGAUGCAGAAAACCCACCCCAAUGGGUCCCAUGCUCUUAGUCUGUGUGGUUUUCCUCCAAACAUGUUUCAAUAUCUGACAGAUAUUAUUUUUUUCAUUCUUGUCUCCAUAAUGACAGCACCUGGACGAGGGGGUACUUACUUCUUGUUCCCUUUUACUGGGGUAAAAUGUCUGUAAAAUAAAACUUGCCAUUUUUAACCCUGUGUAAGGUACAGUUCAGUGGCCCUGAGCACAUGCAGUGUUGUGCGACCAUCACCAUUAUUUCCAAAACUUUACAUCAUCCCUAACAGACACUCCCAGUUACCCA